rnacentral:rRNA from 1 species
AUUGAACGCUGGCGGCAGGCCUAACACAUGCAAGUCGAACGAGUGGCGGACGGGUGAGUACUGUCUGGGAACCUGCCUGUUGGAUGGCGUUCACUACUGGAAACGGUUGCUAAUACCGCAUUCCAUCAGCUGUGCCCUUAUGGGAUUGGCUAGUUGGUGGGGUAACGGCUCACCAAGGCGACGACCCCUAGCUGGUCUGAGAGGAUGACCAGCCACACUGGAACUGAGAGACGGUCCAGACUCCUACGGGAGGCAGCAGUGGGGAAUAUUGAACAAUGGGCGCAAGCCUGAUGCAGCCAUGCCGCGUGUAUGAAGAAGGCCUUCGGGUUGUAAAGUACUUUAAGCGGGGAGGCGUUACCAGCAGAAGAAGCACCGGCUAACUCCGUGCCAGCAGCCGCGGUAAUUC